GAUGAACGCUGGCGGCGUGCCUAAUACAUGCAAGUCGAGCGAACAGAUGAGGAUCUUGCUCCUCUGACGUUAGCGGCGGACGUGUGAGUAACACGUGUAUAACCUACCUAUAAGACUGGGAUAACUUCGGGAAACCGGAGCUAAUACCGGAUAAUAUCUUGAACCGCAUGGUUCAAUAGUGAAAGACGGUUUUGCUGUCACUUAUAGAUGGAUCCGCGCCGCAUUAGCUAGUUGGUAAGGUAACGGCUUACCAAGGCAAGGAUGCGUAGCCGACGUGAGAGGGUGGUCGGCGACACGGGAACGGGGACACGGUCCAGGGUCCUAAGGGAGGCAGCAGUAGGGAAUCUUCCGCAAUGGGCGAAAGCCUGACGGAGCAACGCCGCGUGAGUGAUGAAGGUCUUCGGAGCGUAAAACUCUGUUAUUAGGGAAGAACAAAUGUGUAAGUAAAUAUGCACGUCUUGACGGUACCUAAUAAGAAAGCCACGGCUAACUACGUG
rnacentral:rRNA from 1 species